UCGAAACCUGCCCAGCAGAGCGACCCGCGAACAAGUGAAAACAAACCCGGACGUACCGAAGAAGGGCGCAUACCCCCGAUUGCCCGCCCUCGGACCACGAUCUCUUCUACGACCACACUGAUCUGCGGAUGGAUGGGUGGGUCGUUGUGUCUGCACAAAACCAAAAAUCGACGCGACAUGCGCCAAGGAAAUCUUAGCAAGCAAAAAAGGAUUACCCCGUCCGUGGAGGCAGCCUUCAGAAUCCGAUACU
rnacentral:misc_RNA from 1 species